UUUGAGCGAUUGAAGUGGAAAUCCUUUUUUGUUUCAAAAAAGAUUGACUCCAAUAUC
rnacentral:misc_RNA from 1 species